rnacentral:piRNA from 1 species
UCUGAUAUCUACGGUGCGCACCACGUU